rnacentral:sRNA from 1 species
GUUUAGCCCUGAUGGAAGAGGAAAUCCUUGUUUCGUUUUUUAACGAGACAAGAUUGCAACGUACAGCAGGAAUAAUG